CUAGGAUUUCAACAUAUGAGUUGGGGGGAGAGGCAGCACAAAUAUUCAGUCCAUGGCAGUGGGUCUAUAAAUAACCUGACUCUCCAACCACAAGAGGAUGUAAUUUAGAAGAUGUUCCUUGGUUUGACUUGGGGAAGAGCUCAGGGUUCUCUGGAACUGAACACAGGAUGCCCGACUGUGCUUGAAGGGGAACUGGCCUGGGAUUCAGGGCUCUCUGCAGGGCUCUUGCAAUGAUGACAUCACUGCUGGCUGUGCUCAACUGCUGUCCCUGGAAGCUGCUGGCUUCACUCUCAUUACAAUUAGCAUGGUUCCUCGUUCCUCGGGAAGCCUGCUUUUACCUUGAAGCACUUCCAGACUGGGCGAUCAAAGUGCAUGGGAGCUGCUAGCAGCAGAUGGAUUUCUAAAUUUACCAGGGAAAGGCUGUCCCAUGAUGUUCACUGAACCUGGAAAACACCUGGAGGUGGAAACUGUUGUAUGACAAGAAUACACUCCGGUCGGGUUUGUUUAUUAAGCCCAAGAUAUUGGCUGGCCACUGGUCUUGUCCCAUUGGGUUUGCGCUGCAGGAAUAGCUGGGAGGGAUGGAGAGCAAUCAUUUCCACUCCAUGAUGUCAUGGUGACCAGUGUUGGAUCAGACAAUGCCAUAAAAUCAUGGGGAAACUUCCAUAUAAACACAGGACAAAUAUAUAUCAAGAUGCCGUAAACUGAUGGGGCAGGUGGACACGUCCUGUCUAGCGGCUCAGAGCUUCCAUCUGGGGUGCAGAGUAGACCCGGGGUGACCUUGUUUCCUUUA